rnacentral:lncRNA from 1 species
AUGCAGCUGGCGGGGGGGAGGGGAGGGCCGGGUCAAAACGGGGUGCGAGGGGUGGGAGCACCGGGCUGCAGUCCGGCGGCCCCGGAGCCGAGGGCUGUCCCAGCCCGCCCGCUCGGUGCCCUUGGCGCGGCGGGAAGCGCUAGGACCCGGCCUGCCGCGGCCGGCACUGCUGGCACCGGGCGCUCCGGGACGGGACCGUACCCUGCAGGCGGCGGCGCCACGGGAAGGAGCCGGCAGCCCCCAGAAAAACGUGUCGAGUUGUGCAAGGAAGCAGAGGGACAGCAGGAUGCUGGCAAUCUGUGUAGCUCCCUGCAAGUGGUGAUGUGCCAGCUGGAUCUCUGUGCCACAGGCGGCAUCCAGGAGGAUAUUGCAGCUCACUCCUUCCCCACCUCGUCCCAGCAAGGCUCAGGCCAUCAGGUGAGCAACAUCUCUGCCCUACCAUCUCAUCCCAAAAUACAGGGCAGGGCAUCAAGAGCCCAGGGAUCACCAUCAGGAGUCCUGCAAGCAAUGACUGGAGAUCUACCACCCCAAAAAGAGUCUGCCAACAGCUCUUCAGACAGGACCCCGCUCCAGGGUCAGUGAGGACCAGCAAGGGAAUAGCAAAACUAAAAUGAUCAGUCCCCCAGCCAUUUGCUGACCUCAGCAACAGGCUGAGAUGCUUUGUUGAGUAUCAAAGCAUCCACAAUCACUGUAGUCUUGUAAUAACUGGAUUCCCAGGAGCCUGCAGUAGAUUUUUUUUCCCCUACUAAUAGAUUAAUAACCUGCUGGCACUUGACAGAGGUUCAGCAUCUUCUGUGUUUCCCUCCAUGCAACUGAUUAAAAGUUGCCUUUUCCCGCUUUCCCCAUACAGCUGCCUUGUCGCACUUGCAGGCAGUUGGAUACAGCUGCUAAUCUGCUUGCCAUUCUAUUCCUGGCCUGCCUGCUCUGCCUUUUGGACAUACUGGCUCUCUGUUUCUCUGGUCUGUGGAGAACCAAAGGACCAGCACAGAGGCUUUAUGAGCUGACCUGCCCAUGCUUUCCUCUGGAAUGGGGCAGGCAGCAGCCAAUGGAGGGAAACACAGUCAGUGUGGGUCAUGCUUGUAAAGGGAAGAGUGGUUUUGCAAUGAAAAGGAGAACUGGAUGGCAUGCAGACCCCUGGCCUCAGCUCUGCUGCAGGCUGAUGGUCUUGCCAUGCCUCAGUUUACCCUGUCCCUAGGACAGGCACAUUACAGGGAAAGGGAAAUCUCAUUGCAGAGGAGGGCUGGUGGGUUAAUUAAUGUAUGGAUGCAAAGUGCUUGCAAAUCUCCAAGGAAAAUGAUUGAUGUGGGUGCCAAGCGUAAAGGAUUCUGGAAGCAUUAACUGCCUGCAAAUGCUGCCGAGCUCCUCAGGCCCUAAAACUCAUAUAUUGCCCAAAAGGCACCAAAAAUAUUCCACUAGCUCCUAUGGUGCAUUACCCACUGCCUGGAAUAAAUCUCCCAUUUUGCUCUUGCUUUCCA